AUUGAACGCUGGCGGCAGGCCUAACACAUGCAAGUCGAACGAGUGGCGGACGGGUAAGUAAUGUCUGGGAAACUGCCCGAUGGAGGGGGAUAACUACUGGAAACGGUAGCUAAUAACGCAUCCCAUCGGAUGUGCCCCGAUGGGAUUAGCUAGUAGGUGGGGUAAAGGCCUAACAAGGCGACGAUCCGUAACUGGUCUGAGAGGAUGAUCAAGCACACUGGAACUGAGACACGGUCCAGACUCCUACGGGAGGCAGCAGUGGGGAAUAUUGGACAAUGGGCGAAAGCCUGAUCCAGCCAUGCCGCGUGUGUGAAGAAGGUCUUCGGAUUGUAAAGCACUUUAAGUUGGGAGGCGUUACCAACAGAAUAAGCACCGGCUAACUUCGUGCCAGCAGCCGCGGUAAUAC
rnacentral:rRNA from 1 species